AUUGAACGCUGGCGGCGUGCCUUACACAUGCAAGUCGAACGGCAGGACGGGUGCUUGCAUCUGGUGGCGAUUGGCGAGCGGGUGAGUAAUACACCGGGACAUGCCCUGUAGUGGGGUGUAGUCCCGCGAAAGCCGCAUUAAUACCGCCUACGAUCUACUGUUGACAGCGGGGUCCCUUCUGGCCUCCCGUUUUAGUGUUAGCUUAUGGCUGAUUAGCUCGUUGGUGGGGUAAAGGCCUACCAAGGCGACCAUCAGUAGCUGGUCUGAGAGGGCGACCAGCCACACUGGGACUGAGACACGGCCCAGACUCCUACGGGAGGCAGCAGUGGGGAAUUUUGGACAAUGGGCGAAAGCCUGAUCCAGCAAUGCCGCGUGUGUGAAGAAGGCCUUCGGGUUGUAAAGCACUUUUGUCAGGAAAGAAAACCUUGGCUCUAAUACAGGCGGGGGAUGACGGUACCGGAAGAAUAAGCACCGGCUAACUACGUG
rnacentral:rRNA from 1 species